GCCAGUCAGUCAGUCAGCCACCGUCUAACGUUACCGUCUGGUCACUCCUGUUCUUCUGGUGUUGUGAUUCCUGCUCCCGCCCUGGUGCAGUCUACUAACAAUCUUCCCUCUCACGAUGCCCGCUGCCUCCUUGCGUCACCGUGAAGCGAGGCACGUGUGAGGGUGCGUGGGCGUGCGUGCGAGGCUGAGGAUGGGGGGCCGGUGGGGGUGAGUGGGGGAGGAACACCGCCACUCACUGCCAACAAUGUGCAUCCCUCAAUAUCUCGCUCCUUGCGACAGACAGCGAGAGCAGAGGGAGGCAGCGAGAUAGCGGGAAGACGAAGACGUGGAGGGCAAGAGAGACAGGACGCGAGGGCACCAGGACACUGACUGCGAGGCUGUGAAGAGAAAGGCGGUUCUUGGCGGGUUGUGGAGGAAGAAGGAAGUGGGUGAGGAACAAGUGGUGUUGCUUGGACAUUCGUAAGUGGUCUGGUGUGAGUUAACAACGUGAGGUGUAAAGAGGUGUAACUGAAAGGUGGUUAAAUGUGGUGUUUCUCUGACUUAAGUGGGUGUAAGUGAAGAAUAGUCAAGUUAAGUGAGGAAAGUGUACUGGGUGUUAAGUGAGACAGACAGGAAGCUGAUGCAGAGAUAAAUGUCACCUGCAACACUACUACAACUACACCGCACGACGACUACUACUACUACUACAACUACUACUAACACCACCACCACAACUACCACUACUAAAACUUCAUCUCCUGCUACUAAAAUGAACUUUAUCAACAAGGGCAUCAUGACCGGCCGUGCUAAGCUAUCCAAAAUCAUCCACGUCAAGCCGUUCCAACUCACAGACGAGAAGAAUAAGGAGAACCUCGACAUAUCCAAACCAAUGCGACACAGAUCACCAGACGCGACGCUGCCAGACACCAAACUACCUUCCUCCCUUACAAACAGCAUAGAGGACGUGUAUGUGGGCUCCCCUCGACCUUCACAGCGCAGGCCAACCCCAACCCCGAGCUCUAACCGCCGCUCACGCUCCCUGGACAGACUGACAGCCUCCGGGACAUCAAGUGAUAGGAGGAAUUCAUACUUAGACAUCCGCAACCAUACGCACUCACUCGGGUCCCAGCAGGAGUUGGCGCCGGUUUUCACAACAACAUAUAGGACUGUUUUCUCCACGCUCACGACCAACACGCCCACCACCACCAUGAACGGCGCCAAUACCUACAGUAACUCCAGUAGGAAUUCGCUCAGCAAUGGCAGUAUAGGGAGUAGGUUUAAAACAGCGGAGUUCACGUUUCAGAAGUCCCCCGUCAAGCGCCGUGCCAAGUGGUAGUAGUUGUUGUAUGAUAGAAUGAUGGAUAGGUAGAUGAAUUAACUGUAAGGCAUGUGUGAAUGAGUUGAAGUAAACGGGGUGUGUGAAUGAGUUACACGAUAUCGAAUGUGUGAAUGAAUUAAGCUAUACAGAAUAAGUCAAUAAUUUAAACAAUGCUGAAUGUGUGAAUGAGCUAAACUAAAA